rnacentral:tRNA from 1 species
GUGCCGGUGGUGUAAUGGCGUAGAGCAUUCCCGCCCGGUUAGAGGGAGGUGCGGGUUCGAGUCCCGCCUGGCACU